UUCUUCUUCUUUUUUCUUCUCCCUCUUCUUCUCUCACAGCGGCAAAACAAAUGAAACGGAGUAGAAUUCGGGAUUCGGGGCGAACAAAAGAAGUCCGCGCGAACUGACGCGGCGAAGACAGAAGAAAGAAGAACGCGACCGAUCGGCGCGUCAACGGCGGCUCGCCAGAUGCGACGCGACGACUGGACCGUGAUUCAUUAUCCGUUAUUGGCCUGGUCGGUCCGCGGCCCUCCUGUCUGUCUCUCUCUUUUCUCUCCCCCCCUCCUGUCUCUCUGAAGGCUCACGACCCCGCACAAAGCCACUCGGACACUCCCCGGUGGGCCGGACCCGUUUUCCUCGGCCGCCGCGUGGAAGGAGACGACGGGCUUCAGCGGGCUUCGGCUCGGCGCCCUCGGUCCCUCCGAUGCGUCCUUGCUGCCGGAAUGAAACGCGCUCGGUCCUCUCCGGUCCAAGUGGUGCUGCCCAGCGCCCUCCUCCGCAUGCUCCAACGUCACCCUACACGAGGAGUCGCUGUGUACGAAACACCAUCAGAAUGUGAAGUCGGCUCUCUUUAUGUAACGGUGAAGCCCUUCUGCAACGUACUGCACACCUCUCGCUGUGCGCAUCAUCUUCAGCCUUCUGCCUCCAUCUGUUGACCAUAUAUGGAACCCCCCCCACCCACAGCCCUCCCCGCCCCCACCCUUGCAAAGACAUUAGCACACUAAUCCGGUUGCGCUCCAUCGCGGCCUGUCGGUGAUCUCUACAGAUAAAUAGAAAGCAGCAGGAGGCCACGAGUUGAUUUCGGUGGAUCUCAAAAUGACUUGUGGAAUUACUUGUGGUUUGGGAUUAUCUUGCAUCUUGUUUCAUGGAUUAUGCUGUUAAUUCUCAGUGAUCAUUGGCACGUGAUACUGUUGGCAGUGCCGUCCUGUAUUAUGUAAUGAGGGAUGUGACACGAGCGGCGCCUGCAGGGUCUCUCUCUCUCCCUUUUUGGUGGCGAAUGGCGGAGAUAACAUGUUAUGACAGCAACUCGACUGCAGAACAACGAGUAAAAGCGUUUAUUCCCACAGCCGCAACAUGUACGAUAUCUGACUUUUGAUCAGAUGAGAGUUGAGUUUUCCAAGUAGCUCCUUCGUGUUUAAUUUACAAGUAAAAGCUCAAAUCACCAGCAGAAAGAACGAAUGAAGACUGUGUAAUUAAAAUCAACACUUCAAAUCGUUUUUUUUUGUAUCGUCAUCAUCUGAAAUUGGUUACGUUUAAGUCUGUUUAAGUCUGUUUCACUGAACUAAAAAAUGGCAGUAGUUAUCUGAGCAUUAUAUCUCCCCACUGACUCAUUAAAUAAAUCAUUCCGAAUGAUCUGCGAGAGCUUCUGCGCGCCGCCCCGGGACACCGGAGUUCUCCUUGAAUAACCAAGCAGUCGAGUUUCAUCGACACCCAGUGAGACAAAAUGAGGCCGAGCCGACGCUUAUGAAGCCUCUGUGAAUUAUUGAUCCUCAUUUGAAACCCUCGUGGCACAAAACCCACGCGUGAGUCCGUACGAAGGCCCCACUAAACCCCACCGGUCACACAGAUGGAGACGUCGUGGAGCCGGCGUCAGUGCCAAUGGCCGUGCACUGCUACCGAUCACAAAAUAAAGCCGUUCAGUUGCAUAAAAUGCAGCGAUUGAAUCAAAGAAGGAGCUACGAUGACCUUCUGACGACUUCCCAUACCUUCUAGUUGAGCUUAGUCAUCCUUGUGAUUCAAGUGUUUGUGCGCAGGGAAUGAAACAGGCAGCGACAUGCAGCUGACGGGAGAACACGCAUAAAUCAGCAUGAACGUGCAGCUGCGGCUCCUCUAUAUGAAGCCAGCGCUCCCCGUAAUCACACAUCUCUUAUCGGCCCUCUCAUCUGGCUCCUUCUUAUUCCCUGUGAGUGGGAAUCUCUGAGCAGAACCCACGGGGGGGGGGGGAUGACGCAACUGAGUUUGUUGCACGGUGACAAUAGAUUAUUAUUAUUAUUGAUCAUGAGUCAAACGGCGCUCCCUGUAGGAAACACCACGUCAUUCAUGUCCCGUCUGCGUCAGGUCCAUCUUGAAAUCGGAAAUUUUAAAACAGGAUCAACAAACUAAAGUGUCACCCCAUUCACACAGCGUAUUACUAACUGGAUUUCUUUUUAUUAAACCGGCGUUCUACAGAUGGAAAUUCUGUAUCUUCUUCUGUUAAACAUGGUGAUCAAAGGCUGGAUGAACAAAACCCUGAAUAUGAAUUGUGUACCUUACUUCCUGUCAGUCUUUCACACAGGGUUUAAGAUGAACAUUUAUAGGAAAUGACUGAUUAUUAACAGCAUGAACGUGUCAAAUAUUCAUGUAUGAGAGCAAAGACGGCAUGGACUGCUUAAUAAGGUACAAUAAUGUGUUUUUUUUCUCAGGGCAAACUUGCCUAACAGACUGAAACUGUAGCUGAGGAGUCGCUAUUAAUUCCCUUUUCUAUCGAGGCCCUCUAACAAGGUCACCCUAACCAUACACUUCCAUCUUUAUUUUCAGUAAUGGCAAAAAGUCAGAACUCACUGCAACUCACCACCCGGUUCUAAGCGAUCAUCGAUGAGCUGAGAGGACAUUUCACAGACUACAGGACUCCGUGACGAAAGGAGAUAAAAACGACGCAUUCAGUAGCAACACAUUUACAAAAGCACUUUCUGUUCUCCUGCCGUGUCUCUUACAGAUGCACAGAUCUGCUUGUUGCAAUGACGUUAACGCUUUCUUAACGUGCUUCUUUUUGUGAUUUGGAUUCCUGUAAACCCAUUUACCGUGUUUUAUACUAAACAUGUCUUUAUUUGGUGUUAUAAAAAUCCCUUAUGGUCAUUUUGGUGUUUAGUCACACUCAUCACGCACUGUUUGGGAGCCCUAAAUCAACCCAGAACAGACACGAUUUCUUAAUUUGCUCCACUGAAUUUUCUGUUAAAACAAUAAAUGACAAUAAAUAAAGAGACAAGAUUGUGACAUA